rnacentral:rRNA from 1 species
AAAUUUGAGAGGAGCUGUCCUUAGUACGAGAGGACCGGGAUGGACGCACCGCUGGUGUACCAGUUGUUCUGCCAAGGGCAUAGCUGGGUAGCUAUGUGCGGAAGGGAUAAGUGCUGAAAGCAUCUAAGCAUGAAGCCCCCCUCAAGAUGAGAUUUCCCAUAGCGUAAGCUAGUAAGAUCCCUGAAAGAUGAUCAGGUUGAUAGGUUCGAGGUGGAAGCAUGGUGACAUGUGGAGCUGACGAAUACUAAUAGAUCGAGGACUUAACCAUAUAA